rnacentral:rRNA from 1 species
CCUACGGGAGGCAGCAGUGGGGAAUAUUGGACAAUGGGCGCAAGCCUGAUCCAGCCAUACCGCGUGUGUGAAGAAGGCCUUCGGGUUGUAAAGCACUUUAAGUAAGGAAGAAAAGUAUAUUGUUAAUACCAAUGUACCGUGACAUUACUUACAGAAUAAGGACCGGCUAAUUCCGUGCCAGCAGCCGCGGUAAUAC